AAGGUCGUAACAAGGUUUCCGUAGGUGAACCUGCGGAAGGAUCAUUAAAGAAUACCUGGACUCCGGUCCUCGUCGAGAAAUGGUCGUCCCGGGCUGGCCUCCAGGUCCCCGGGGGUCUUCCCCACCUUCCUUCAUCCGUUACUCGUUACCUCCUUGACCUUCGUGCUUUGGGCAUUGGCAACGCAUCCGUCGUCCCCUGGGAUCCCUGGGGUUUCCGGGGCCUUUGGGCCGGUCCUUGGGCCCAGGUACUGGCCCCGGAACGGCCCUAACUCGUGGGAUAGUCUAUGUUUGUCUGAGUACGAUAUAAUCGUUUACAA
rnacentral:misc_RNA from 1 species